CAAUAGCGUAUAUUAAAGUUGUUGCGGUUAAAAAGCUCGUAGUUGGAUUUCGGCGGACAGGGGGCGGUUCGAUAUUUGUCGCUACUGCCCCAUUUGUCCGUGUUUUUGGCGGAGGUUUCAGGGUGCUCUUCACCGAGUGUCCUGGGAUGCCGUCGGGUUUACUUUGAAAAAAUUAGAGUGCUCAAAGCAGGCUUUACACGCUUGAAUAUUCGUGCAUGGAAUAAUGGAAUAGGACGUCGUUUCUAUUUUGUUGGUUUUCGGAAAUCGACGUAAUGAUUAACAGGGACAGUCGGGGGCAUUAGUAUUCAGACGACAGAGGUGAAAUUCUUGGACCGUCUGAAGACUAACUACUGCGAAAGCAUUUGCCAAGAAUGUUUUCAUUAA
rnacentral:rRNA from 1 species